rnacentral:rRNA from 1 species
AGCAGCCGCGGUAAUUCCAGCUCCAAUAGCGUAUAUUAAAGUUGUUGCAGUUAAAAGCUCGUAGUUGAAUUUCGGGGUUAGUACGCUGGUCGUGCCUUCGGUAUGUACUGGUGUUACUGAUUCCUACCUUCUGAAGAACCGUCAUGUCAUUAAUUUGGUGUGGCGGGGAAUCAGGACUGUUACUUUGAAAAAUUAGAGUGUUUAAAGCAGGCUCGCGCUUGAAUACAUUAGCAUGGAAUAAUGAAAUAGGACGUUUGAUCCUAUUUUGCUGGUUUCUAGGAUUGACGUAAUGAUUAAUAGGGAUAGUUGGGGGCAUUAGUAUUCAAUUGUCAGAGGUGAAAUUCUUGGAUUUAUUGAAGACUAACUACUGCGAAAGCAUUUGCCAAGGAUGUUUUCAUUAAUCAAGAACGAAAGUUAGGGAUCGAAGACGAUCAGAUACCGUCGUAGUCU